rnacentral:other from 2 species
UUCCCUGCAUAGUACGUGUAGACUGGAAUUUUAGAACCAACAAAUUUAAAAAGGGAGUCCGCCUUUGAAUGUGGCGUGUAUGCUUAUUUAUUUUUAAAUAAGAAACCCAGAAGCAUUCAACAAGACACCCACCUGUGAAAACAGGUCCUUAAAAUUUCAUUCACCUUACGGCUAAAGCGGGGUAU